rnacentral:rRNA from 1 species
UGGGCGAAGCCUGAUCCAGCCAUGCCGCGUGUGUGAAGAAGGCUUUCGGGUUGUAAAGCACUUUCAGUGAGGAAGAACGCCUUGGGGCUAAUACCCCCGAGGGAAGACAUCACUCACAGAAGAAGCACCGGCUAACUCCGUGCCAGCAGCCGCGGUAAUACGGAGGGUGCAAGCGUUAAUCGGAAUUACUGGGCGUAAAGCGCGCGUAGGCGGCGUGAUAAGCCGGUUGUGAAAGCCCCGGGCUCAACCUGGGAACGGCAUCCGGAACUGUCAGGCUAGAGUGCAGGAGAGGAAGGUAGAAUUCCCGGUGUAGCGGUGAAAUGCGUAGAGAUCGGGAGGAAUACCAGUGGCGAAGGCGGCCUUCUGGACUGACACUGACGCUGAGGUGCGAAAGCGUGGGUAGCAAACAGGAUUAGAUACCCUGGUAGUCCACGCCGUAAACGAUGUCGACUAGCCGUUGGGGUCCUAGAGACCUUUGUGGCGCAGUUAACGCGAUAAGUCGACCGCCUGGGGAGUACGGCCGCAAGGUUAAAACUCAAAUGAAUUGACGGGGGCCCGCACAAGCGGUGGAGCAUGUGGUUUAAUUCGAUGCAACGCGAAGAACCUUACCUACCCUUGACAUCGUGCGAACUUGGUAGAGAUACCUUGGUGCCUUCGGGAACGCACAGACAGGUGCUGCAUGGCUGUCGUCAGCUCGUGUUGUGAAAUGUUUGGGUUAAGUCCCGUAACGAGCGCAACCCUUGUCCCUAUUUGCCAGCGAUUCGGUCGGGAACUCUAGGGAGACUGCCGGUGACAACCGGAGGAAGGUGGGGGAACGACGUUCAAGUCAUCAUGGCCCUUA